rnacentral:piRNA from 1 species
UUCCGAGAACCGAUCUGCAAAGUCCUG